GUGAAAACCAAAAGAAAGAAAUUAAAAUAUAAAUGGAGUGGUUGAGGUGGGUUUAGGUUAACAGGAAGAAAGAAUACAAGUGUGGUAAGUUGUAGUAGUGAGAGGGGUUUAAGGGACGUAGUGAAUGAGGUUUUCAUGGGAUGGGUUCUUUAUUGCAGAGGUAAGUUUGUUGCGGAGGUAAGUUUACGUAUAUUUAUGUGUGAGAGAGAGAAUGUGAAAAAUAAAUUGGUGUAGUUUUGGAAAGAAGAGAAAUAAUAAGAUAAAAGGGUUGGGCUGAAAG
rnacentral:lncRNA from 1 species